AAAAUGUGUAGUUUAAUUCAGGAAACAAAAAUCUGGCGACCUUCCUUUUGCCGGUGUGAUAUACCUAUUGUGCUGCACUUGCUUGCUAUAGUGAGUUUCGUAGGAUAGCUAGAUUUGCGUUUUCUGGUACGGAUUUUUUUUACCAGACAAUUAUAUGUGCAACACAUGGAAUUUAUGCACAUCGUUUAGUUACAAAAUGUAUUUCACCGGGAAAAGUUAGACAAUAUUUCCAUAAACUUGCCAUUGCACAAAGGGUGGGCUAUUAUAAUAAUAGUUUAUUCCAUCGAUAGAGUCAACUAAAAGAGUUUAGCUCAGGCUAGUAAAAAUAAAUAGUGCAGAUAUGUCAUAUUGUCGACGGAUAUGCUGGUACACACAUUGGGCAGCAGUUUAUCGACCACAAAAUGAGGAGGGUUUGUCACAAUAGUCUUCCUUCAACAGUUUAUAAGACAGUCGUUAUUGCCUAACCAGAGCGAAUUUAUCGCAGCAAUCCAGUGCGCACGGUCUCCCCGGCUGUUAUCCGGCAGAACGCGCAGACAGAGCUGCAGUGCUAUUCUAAGAGAGUUAGCUGCCUCAACCCACGCACCAAAUCUGAGAAAGAGAGAGGAAGGGAGAACGAGGGAGAUGGGAGAAAGGAGAGAGCGAGAGGAAUGAAAGGAGAGAGGGAUAGACUACAGAAAGGAUCCACAAAUCUGUGAAGACAUUCCAGGCCUGAUCCCCUUUAUCCAAAUCUGAAGACGAUACUGGAAAUCAAGCAGAACUUUCAGGGAAUAGAAGAGUUCUUUAUAAAAACUUGGAACAACAGUGAGAUCUGCUGGUUGUAUUCUCCAUUGUUUUUAUUCACAUGUAUUGAAACAAGUAGAGCCAUCAGUGAUUCCAGCAGCCCCCCUGCCUCCCCUAUCCAUGCCUACAUGCUCAGCAACAGAUAAGAACUGUUUUGAUAAUUGUAUGUAAUUAUAAUUUGUGUGGGAGACGGAGCUGUCUCUGUCUAUUAUCACCUGUAACCUCAGACACAAUAACUCCACACAUUUACAUAUUUCUCUCCAAAAAUGCUUUUCUUUCAGUUUUAGGACCAAAUCAGGAAUAAUCAGAGUUAUUGAAGGAAUGGCACAUGUGAACUACAAUGUGCUAUUCAGUCCUCAACCAUCAUAAUGAGACACAACUGAAUUCAAUCUGUAGAGUUACAUCUAAACCUCAAGCUCUUUUCCUUGUAUAUUCUAUACUAGACCAU
ensembl:lncRNA